UUUGCACUCAUCGGGGAAGGGUGAGAACAUUCGACUAAGGUUCGACUCGAGCGAAAGCGAGAGAACGUUUUCACAGGCAACGGCCCGAAGGGUGAGGAGCGAAGCGACGAAUAAUCCUUUCCCCACCGCCA
rnacentral:sRNA from 1 species